CCUAAUACAUGCAAGUCGUACGCUUCUUUUUCCACCGGAGCUUGCUCCACCGGAAAAAGAAGAGUGGCGAACGGGUGAGUAACACGUGGGUAACCUGCCCAUCAGAAGGGGAUAACACUUGGAAACAGGUGCUAAUACCGUAUAACAAUCGAAACCGCAUGGUUUUGAUUUGAAAGGCGCUUUCGGGUGUCGCUGAUGGAUGGACCCGCGGUGCAUUAGCUAGUUGGUGAGGUAACGGCUCACCAAGGCCACGAUGCAUAGCCGACCUGAGAGGGUGAUCGGCCACAUUGGGACUGAGACACGGCCCAAACUCCUACGGGAGGCAGCAGUAGGGAAUCUUCGGCAAUGGACGAAAGUCUGACCGAGCAACGCCGCGUGAGUGAAGAAGGUUUUCGGAUCGUAAAACUCUGUUGUUAGAGAAGAACAAGGAUGAGAGUAACUGUUCAUCCCUUGACGGUAUCUAACCAGAAAGCCACGGCUAACUACGUGCCAGCAGCCGCGGUAAUACGUAGGUGGCAAGCGUUGUCCGGAUUUAUUGGGCGUAAAGCGAGCGCAGGCGGUUUCUUAAGUCUGAUGUGAAAGCCCCCGGCUCAACCGGGGAGGGUCAUUGGAAACUGGGGAGGACUUGAGUGCAGAAGAGGGAGAGUGGAAUUCCCAUGUGUAGCGGUGAAAUGCGUAGAUAUAUGGAGGAACACCAGUGGCGAAGGCGGCUCUCUGGUCUGUAACUGACGCUGAGGCUCGAAAGCGUGGGGAGCAAACAGGAUUAGAUACCCUGGUAGUCCACGCCGUAAACGAUGAGUGCUAAGUGUUGGAGGGUUUCCGCCCUUCAGUGCUGCAGCUAACGCAUUAAGCACUCCGCCUGGGGAGUACGACCGCAAGGUUGAAACUCAAAGGAAUUGACGGGGGCCCNCNCAAGCGGNGGAGCAUGUGGUUUAAUUNGAAGCAACGNGAAGAACCUUACCAGGUCUUGACAUCCUUUGACCACUCUAGAGANAGAGCUUCCCCUUCGGGGGCAAAGUGACAGGUGGUGCAUGGUUGUCGUCAGCUCGUGUCGUGAGAUGUUGGGUUAAGUCCCGCAACGAGCGCAACCCUUAUUGUUAGUUGCCAUCAUUCAGUUGGGCACUCUAGCAAGACUGCCGGUGACAAACCGGAGGAAGGNGGGGAUGACGUCAAAUCAUCAUGCCCCUUAUGNCCUGGGCUACACACGUGCUACAAUGGGAAGUACAACGAGUUGNGAAGUCGNGAGGNUAAGCUAAUNUCUUAAAGCUUCUCUCAGUUCGGAUUGCAGGCUGCAACUCNCCUGCAUGAAGCCGGAAUCGCUAGUAAUCGCGGAUCAGCACGCCGCGGUGAAUACGUUCCCGGNCCUUGUACACNCCNCCCGUCNCNCCACGAGAGUUUGUAACACCCGAAGUCGGUGAGGUAACCUUUUGGAGCCAGCCGCCUAAGGNGG
rnacentral:rRNA from 2 species